GGUAUGUGGAAUGAAUAGGAAACAGAUGAUGAACGAGGUGCUAAAGCUGCGAUCCCUGGAGACUAGCCCCCAGGAAACCACUGUGGGUGUGUGCAGUACCAGAGGGUCAGGAGUAAGUAAGUGUUCCGCGUAGAAACAUCCCAGCCAUGCAUCAAGGGAGACAGAAUCUUCCAGAACUCAAACCUCAAGAGCACUGAGGACCUCAGCGGUAACAACAAACCUCCUCCUUCUCAUCACGGACGAACUGAGCCCUUGCAUUCGUCUCCCUGGAUCGCUUACAACAAUCACAGAGACAGGCUAUCGACUCCAUGCUACAGAUAGGGCCUGCAGUCAGACCCUUCUCACACGAGCUCCCAGUGUCAGAGCUUCAAGUGGAAGGGAUGGCAAGGCCAUUUUCAUCUGAGGCUGUACCUCUCUGAAGGACCUACGGAGGAGGAACCGCAUCAACUCUGGAGUGCAGACUCUUGGGGACUAUGGAAACGAUGCUAGGCAAAAAGCAAAUUUGAGCGAUUUCCUUAUUGGAGUUCAAAACGGAUUGUAAAGCAGCAGAGACAACUUGCAACAUCAACAAUACAUUUGGCCCAGGAACUGCUAAUGAACGUAUGGUGCAGUGGUGGUUCAGGAAGUUUUGCAAAGGAGACGAGCACCUUGAAGAUGAGUGUAAUGGCCGGCCAUCAGAAGUUGACAACAACCAACUGAGAGCCAUCAUCGAAGCUGAUUCUCUUACAACUACACAAGAAGUUGCCAAAAAACUCAGUGUUGACUAUCAUGGUCAUUCAGCCUUUGAAGCAAAUUAGAGAGGUGAAAACGUUUGAUAAGUGGGUGCCUCAUGAGCUGACCAAAAAUCAAAAAAAUCGUUUUGAAGUGUCGUAUUCUUACUAGAUGCAACAACAGCAAACCGUUUCUUGAUUGGAUUAUGACAUGUGACAAAAAUGGGAUUUUAUACAAUAACCAGCUCAGUGGUUGAACCAAGAAACUCCAAAGCACUUCUCAAAGCCAAACUUGCACCAAAAAAAGGUCAUGGUCACUGUUUGGUCAUUUGCUGCUGGUCUGAUCCAUGAAAGCUUUCUGAAUCCCAGUGAAACCAUUACAUCUGAGAAGUAUGCUCAGCACAUUGAUGAGAUGCACGGAGAAGGGAAUGGCUAUACCCACUCCAGUAUUCUUGCCUGAGGAAUUCUAUGGACAGAGGAGUCUGGUGGGCUACAGUCCAUGGGGUCGCAAAGAGCGGAUACAACUGAGCAACUUUUACUCACUCUUUCACAGAAAACUGCAACACCUGCGACCAGCAGUGGUCAACAGAAAGGGGCCGAUUUUUCUCCACAACAACCCCUAACCACACGUCACACAACCGAUGCUUCAAAAAUUGAACAAACUGGGCUAUGAAGUUUUGUCUCACCUGCCAUAUUCACCUGACCUCUUGCCAACCGACCACUACUUUCUUCAAGCAUCUCGAGAACUUUUUGAAGGAAAAACUCUUCUGCAGCCAGCAGGAGGCAGAAGACGCUUUCCAAAAUUUCCCUGAAUCCGAAACACGAAUUUUUAAGCUAUAGGGAUGAACAAACUUAUUUCUCGUUGGCAAAAAUGUGUUGAUUGUAAUCGUUCUUAUUUCGAUUUAAAAAGAUGUGUUUCAGCCUAUUUAUAAGGCUGAAUUGAUUUAGAAGGCUGAAUUUAAAUUGAUUUAAAAUUUAAAAUUCAACAUCCGAAACCACAAUUACAUUUGCACCAACCUAAUACAAACGCACAAACUUCACACAGAUGGCGGUAUUAUACCUAGUACCACAUUUUUUUUUUUGGCAGGGGGAAGAAGGAUAGUCCAGGAAGUCCCAGUCAAUGAUAACAAAACAUUGAGCAAUACUUUUAAAGGUAUGUUAUAAUGAAAGGUUAUUUUUGGAUCAUCAUGUUUCCUUUUGACAAGUACCUGGCAAGAGAGCAAAUACGAACUUACAUAAAGGUAUUAACUGAUAAUACAAGUAAAACAAAAUCCAAGUUCUUUCUAAUGUACUUAGCCCCUCAGUUUACUGUGCCUCUUGGUUUUCAUUUUUACUGACUAUAUAGGCUUCAUUUUUCCCUUCUCACUUCAUACAUUUUUACAACUAAUAAAUACUGCAAGCAAAGUUUCUAUCAAAGAAAGUUUUGAGUGUGUUAUUUUUUCUUUUCCAGUCUUCAAUUGGGUCUCCCUCCUGAAAGACUGAGAGUCACAGAGACAGACAACUGCCUCCUGACAUUUAAAUGAAGCAUUGCUGGACAGUUGCUUUUUAAACAUCUAUAAAGCUUACCCUCGGAUUUAAUAAAGAUCAAUACAUUUCUGUAAAAAAAAAAUACAUGAAAUAAGUUUACACUUCACUAAACAUUCAAAUAAAACCAAGAAAUAGCUAUAUCCAUGCUGGAACAUUGAGUAUUACCAAAAUUAUGAAGAAUGUAAGGUCAUGAUAAUCCCAGAAAAAUUUCGUACAAAUGAAGAAUGCAGAUUCUGCCUUAUGCUAUCUCAGGUUUAGAGCUAAGAAGGCUUCCUAGUCUCUUAAGCCUUUGAUCUAUUUUAGGAUCUCUGACCCUUUAUUCCUGGGAGUUAAUGACACUUCUGAGUACUGCUGCUGCUGCUAAGUUGCUUCAGUCGUGUCCGACUCUGUGUGACCCCAGAGACGGUAGCCCACCAGGCUCCCCCAUCCCUGGGAUUCUCCAGGCAAGAACACUGGAGUGGGUUGCCAUUUCCUUCUCCAAUGCCUGAAAGUGAAAAGUGAAAGGGAAGUCACUCAGUCUUGUCCAACUCUUUGCGACCCCACAGACUGCAGCCUACCAGGCUUCUCUGUCCAUGGGAUUUUCCAGGCAAGAGUACCGGAUUGGGUUGCCAUUGCCUUUUCCGAAACAAUUAUGUCUCGAUGCCAACCUAGUGACACAUUUAAUGUGCUAGUUUGUGGUGGAAGGGGUAAAUCUCAUUGACAGUUUUUCAUAAAGGGGAUUCCCUGCUGGCUCAGCAGUGAGAAUCUGCCUGCCAAAGCCAGUGACAUAGGUUCAAUCCCUGGGUCGGGAAGAUCCCCU
ensembl:lncRNA